AUUGAACGCUGGCGGCAGGCCUAACACAUGCAAGUCGAACGGUAGCACAGAGAGCUUGCUCUCGGGUGACGAGUGGCGGACGGGUGAGUAAUGUCUGGGAAACUGCCUGAUGGAGGGGGAUAACUACUGGAAACGGUAGCUAAUACCGCAUAACGUCGCAAGACCAAAGAGGGGGACCUUCGGGCCUCUUGCCAUCAGAUGUGCCCAGAUGGGAUUAGCUAGUAGGUGGGGUAACGGCUCACCUAGGCGACGAUCCCUAGCUGGUCUGAGAGGAUGACCAGCCACACUGGAACUGAGACACGGUCCAGACUCCUACGGGAGGCAGCAGUGGGGAAUAUUGCACAAUGGGCGCAAGCCUGAUGCAGCCAUGCCGCGUGUAUGAAGAAGGCCUUCGGGUUGUAAAGUACUUUCAGCGGGGAGGAAGGUGUUGUGGUUAAUAACCGCAGCAAUUGACGUUACCCGCAGAAGAAGCACCGGCUAACUCCGUGCCAGCAGCCGCGGCAAUACGGAGGGUGCAAGCGUUAAUCGGAAUUACUGGGCGUAAAGCGCACGCAGGCGGUCUGUCAAGUCGGAUGUGAAAUCCCCGGGCUCAACCUGGGAACUGCAUUCGAAACUGGCAGGCUGGAGUCUUGUAGAGGGGGGUAGAAUUCCAGGUGUAGCGGUGAAAUGCGUAGAGAUCUGGAGGAAUACCGGUGGCGAAGGCGGCCCCCUGGACAAAGACUGACGCUCAGGUGCGAAAGCGUGGGGAGCAAACAGGAUUAGAUACCCUGGUAGUCCACGCCGUAAACGAUGUCGAUUUGGAGGUUGUGCCCUUGAGGCGUGGCUUCCGGAGCUAACGCGUUAAAUCGACCGCCUGGGGAGUACGGCCGCAAGGUUAAAACUCAAAUGAAUUGACGGGGGCCCGCACAAGCGGUGGAGCAUGUGGUUUAAUUCGAUGCAACGCGAAGAACCUUACCUGGUCUUGACAUCCACAGAACUUUCCAGAGAUGGAUUGGUGCCUUCGGGAACUGUGAGACAGGUGCUGCAUGGCUGUCGUCAGCUCGUGUUGUGAAAUGUUGGGUUAAGUCCCGCAACGAGCGCAACCCUUAUCCUUUGUUGCCAGCGGUUAGGCCGGGAACUCAAAGGAGACUGCCAGUGAUAAACUGGAGGAAGGUGGGGAUGACGUCAAGUCAUCAUGGCCCUUACGACCAGGGCUACACACGUGCUACAAUGGCGCAUACAAAGAGAAGCGACCUCGCGAGAGCAAGCGGACCUCAUAAAGUGCGUCGUAGUCCGGAUUGGAGUCUGCAACUCGACUCCAUGAAGUCGGAAUCGCUAGUAAUCGUAGAUCAGAAUGCUACGGUGAAUACGUUCCCGGGCCUUGUACACACCGCCCGUCACACCAUGGGAGUGGGUUGCAAAAGAAGUAGGUAGCUUAACCUUCGGGAGGGCGCUUACCACUUUGUGAUUCAUGACUGGGGUGA
rnacentral:rRNA from 1 species